ensembl:lncRNA
UGCGAAGAGUUGACUCACUGGAAAAGACUCUGAUGCUGGGAGGGAUUGAGGGCAGGAGGAGAAGGGGACAACAGAGGAUAAGAUGGCUGGAUGGCAUCACGGACUCGAUGGACGUGAGUCUGAGUGACCUCUGGGAGUUGGUGAUGGACAGGGAGGCCUGGCGUGCUGCAAUUCAUGGGGUCGCAAAGAAUCAGACAUGACUGAGUGACUGAACUGAACUGAAGCAUGGACAUUUGGAGUCAGAGAAUGGCUCUUCUCUUCUGACUACUGGGGCUGAGGGACAAGAGGAAAAGUGUUGAAGAUCUGAGGUGAAAAAAGAAACACUAUAGCCUACCCGGUUCAUCUGUUCAAAGGAUUGUCCAGACAAGAAUACCAGAAUGGGUUGCCAUUUCCUUCUCCAGAGAAUCUUCCCAACCCAGGGAUCGAACCUGUGUCUCCUGCAUUGGCAGGCUGGGGCUUCAGUGUUGCAGGACGUGCAGGAGUUGCGGCGCACCGGCAUAGUUGCUCUGAGGCAUGUAGAAUCUUCCCCGACCGGGGAUCGAACCCACGUGCCCGGCAUCGGCAGGCGGAUUCUUACCUACUGUACCGCCGGGGAAGUGCUUAACUCUUAGUACUCUUGAAUAGACACUGGAACUGAGUAAGCUCUCUCAUCUGACAAGCUAGCCAGAAAAGUGGUGAUAUGUACCCCACUCAUAAACCAAUGUACCACACUUCUGUAUGUGUAAUAAAGUGGGAAGACCAUCAAGUGAACCCCAAGAAAUAAUGGCC